GAUGAACGCUGGCGGCGUGCCUAAUACAUGCAAGUCGAGCGAACAGACGAGGAGCUUGCUCCUCUGACGUUAGCGGCGGACGGGUGAGUAACACGUGGAUAACCUACCUAUAAGACUGGGAUAACUUCGGGAAACCGGAGCUAAUACCGGAUAAUAUAUUGAACCGCAUGGUUCAAUAGUGAAAGACGGUUUUGCUGUCACUUAUAGAUGGAUCCGCGCCGCAUUAGCUAGUUGGUAAGGUAACGGCUUACCAAGGCAACGAUGCGUAGCCGACCCGAGAGGGUGAUCGGCCACACUGGAACUGAGACACGGUCCAGACUCCUACGGGAGGCAGCAGUAGGGAAUCUUCCGCAAUGGGCGAAAGCUUGACGGAGCAACGCCGCGUGAGUGAUGAAGGUCUUCGGAUCGUAAAACUCUGUUAUUAGGGAAGAACAAAUGUGUAAGUAACUAUGCACGUCUUGACGGUACCUAAUCAGAAAGCCACGGCUAACUACGUG
rnacentral:rRNA from 1 species